rnacentral:tRNA from 1 species
AGCAAGGUCAGCUAAAAAAGCUAUCGGGCCCAUACCCCGAAAACGACGGUUAAACUCCUUCCCUCGCUA